CUGUCGGGCAUUUCUCGCUCAAUGUUCACACAUCAUCGUGCUGCAGCCCUCCUUGGACCGCUCUAAGAUAGCGUACCUCAUCACGCUGAUGUCUGGGAGGGCUAAUGCCUGGGCUCCGGCAGAAUGGGAACAACAGUCGGCCGUAUGCUUCAGUCUGGAGGAGUUUGUGGCAGAGGAUGACUGCUUCCUGACACACCUGAGCCUGGCGAGAAAUUGCGGAGGGUAGCGUGCCAUGCGUCUGCCUGUCUGUCCCUCCAUGGUGUCUAUGGACCUGUACGGGAACCCAGCGGUGACCUAAGUGGGACUCUAAAGCCUCCUCUCCACCCAGCGACCUUUGACCGAUCUCAACCUCCAAGGUUGUCAGGUAGCCAGCCCCUGGGUCAGCUCUAGCCUGGAUGGCCAGUCAGAAUAGGUCCAGGACCUGCAACUGGGCUCCCAGAGGCUUAACAAACUGGACCGCGAGGCGCUGCAGCAGACCUGGGGCCAGAGAAGGCCCGGGGGCUGCUUCCUCUCCAGAGAUGCUAAGUGCCUGCUCACUACUGCCCCCUCACUGCCGGUGGUAGCUGAUCCCCUACAGGAAGGUGAGGUGCCGGAGGUCCCUCCGCCCCCUCUGGACAUUGGGGGGUCCCCGGCGUACAGCAUACGGGCCAUUUUGGACUCGAGACGCCGGGUGAGGGGCCUGCAGUACCUCGUGGACUGGGAGGGGUAUGGCCCGGAGGAGAGUUG
rnacentral:lncRNA from 1 species